GCACCAGUGGGGAAUAUUGCGCAAUGGACGAAAGUCUGACGCAGCGACGCCUCGUGAGGGACGAAGGUCUUCGGAUUGUAAACCUCUUUCAGCAGGGACGAAGCGAAAGUGACGGUACCUGCAGAAGAAGCACCGGCUAACUAUGUGCCAGCAGCCGCGGUAAUACAUAGGGUGCAAGCGUUGUCCGGAUUUAUUGGGCGUAAAGAGUUCGUAGGCGGUUUUUCGCGUCGGAUGUGAAAACUCAGGGCUCAACCCUGAGCCUGCAUUCGAUACGGGAAGACUCGAGGACGGCAGGGGAGACUGGAACUUCUGGUGUAGCGGUGGAAUGCGCAGAUAUCAGAAAGAACACCAAUGGCGAAGGCAGGUCUCUGGGCCGAUCCUGACGCUGAGGAACGAAAGCGUGGGGAGCAAACAGGAUUAGAUACCC
rnacentral:rRNA from 2 species